rnacentral:lncRNA from 7 species
AGAAGCUGAAUGACAACUGAGAACUUUCCUCUUCUAUUGAUUUCACUGGAGACUGGACAGCAGUCGCUGUGUUUUGAAGUAGUAGGAUGUCACGCAUGAAGGUAAGGGAAGAGAUCACAGGAAACCCCAUGUCUUUGCUCAUUAUGCUUCCUGCUGCUCAGUGUGCAUCUUCUUGCAUGAGAGGUGUGCUUGCUCCAGUUCAAAACAGCUGCUCCCUCACAAGUGUACUCCUGGCUCCCAUUCACCACCCUCUAAAGAAAAGAAGAGCUGCAGGAGUUAAAAAGGUAGAAAAAAAAAUUCUGGACCACGUGAGAAACAUCUACCUGCACAUCAGUAUAAUUUCAAGUGGUCAAGAAAGCACAUAAUGUUUAAUAGAACUUGCAUAUUGUCAUUUUAAAGGGGCAAUACUCAGAAAAUGAAGAUUCAUUAAAGCUGUAGGAUUGAAUGUUGGGCGAACACUUCUUUCAUCAUCCAGCACACCACCGUGGGGAGUGAUGCUCUUCAGCAGUGCACUCUCCGUUCUUUCCCCGUUAGUUUUAAAUAAGUGCUAGGGCUUCUGCCACUUCUCUAGGAAAUAAUAGGUCUUAGCAGCAUGAAAUGGCUAGCUACCGUUUGCCUUUCUCCUUUUUUAUCUCAUACUUAAGUUGCUAGCUUGUAACAUUAAGGAUUACUCUUUUUUUUUUUUUAACAUGUCCUUCACUUUCUUGUUUUCUGAAUGACACAAAUUUGACUAUUUUCAUCUUUCUUCACAUAUUCAUCUUUUUUGACCAUUUAAUUAAUUUUGUGUCUUCUCCCCCCCACCCCCCAUAAUUCCCUCAGUUCUGUCCAUAUCUUUCUGGCUGAAACUCUCAGCGCUGUCUGCAGUAUUAAUAAAGAAUGCAUGAUGCUGUACUAAAAAGGUUUGUUGGCAUGGAUUUGAAAUGGCCUCUAAACUCUAGUGGUAAAGUCACAGUGUAAGCUGUGCCGUUCACCUGAAGUUAUUAAACAUUCAUACCAAACCAUGGCACAUUUGUCUCAGGUUGCACACAUAUAUAAUUUUAAGAUUAGUGUGUAGUUGUUUUUUUCGAUCCUGCUGCUUCAAGAUUAUUUUUCUUUCAUCUUUUAUAUCUGUUUGCCACCUAGCAGAGCUUAUUCCAGGAGAAAUUGAUGUCUUUUGACAGUGUUUAUGGAAGCCUUCUUGUUCUGCCAUGUACUUUCUUAUACAUGCGACUACACAGUUGUUUCCUAAGGAUUCCUGGGGAUUGGAUUUGGGCUUCUGGACCAAGGGCAAAAGAAACAGAAACUGCUGAACUGGACCAAACUGUAAGCAAGCUGACCCAGUUGUAGAUGUCCUUGUUCAUUGUAGAGGACUAGAUGGACUUUAAGGGUUCCAUCCAACUCAAAUGAUUCUAUGAAGAUACAACUAUAAACAGUGUUUGCCCUAGUGUAUGAAGUGGUCUAACGUUGUCUCCUUCUAGGUGCAAUAGGAAUACCUGGGAGGACAUUACAGCUACUGCAUUUUACUACAGCUUAAGAUUGUAAGAAAAAAAAGUUUUUGGUGAUUAGGCUAGAUUGUAAAGUGCAUACAGAUUAGAAUGGGAAAAAAGUUAGGACCAUACUAUCUAACUUCUGUAUUCUAUGUAUUUGGAAAUACACAUUUGACUACUUUUUUAUAAAGCACCAGAUCAUAUUAAAUAUGAUUAUUGGUGUGAUCCAUUCAAUAAGCAGUGUUCCCAACUCAAUGAAACAUAUAAGAGUUUGCUUAAUAUUAAAUAUAUGUUUGAAUAUGUUACUGCAAUUCCACAUACUGAAGGGCUUCCCUGAAUAACGGUGGCUUUAAGCAAGUAUCUAAAUACUCUAAUGAACUGCAUCUUAUGUGUCAUAUUAUUCUGAGAGUUGAAUGGAGUCACUCAAAG